GGCGUUGCUUUUGGCUUUUGUGUGCUCAGCAAAUUACUGCGCAAAGUAUGUCCGGCGAUCUUACUCCAAAGGAAGCGAUCCUUUCUGGCAGAUGAACGAGCGCCAUUUGCACACCGUCGGGGUCCAAUGAGCUAAAAGAGGGAAUUUUGCUACGGAACCGGUGACCGUCGGAGUGGCAAUCGGAAAUGGUUCGUAUGCAAGGCCGCCAGGGGUAAGAUGCGUCAACAUUUGUCUGGUGGGUGCGGAACGCGUUUUGUGCUAUCAUUUUUUGAUGAAGCUUGUUACGCUGUGAACACGAUUAUUGGCACGGAUGGCGUCCCCU